AUGGCGACCUCCAUGGUUUGCCUGGUUGCGCUCUGCCUCCUGUCUCCGUUGCUCCUCGCCGGCGCCGUGGUCGGCAACCCGGGUUACGGCGGCCUGUUCCCGCAGUUCUACGACCACUCGUGCCCCAAGGCCAAAGAGAUGGUGCACUCCAUCGUGGCGCAGGCCGUGGCCAGGGAGACCAGGAUGGCCGCCUCCCUCGUCAGGCUGCAUUUCCAUGACUGCUUCGUCAAGGGCUGCGACGCGUCCGUGCUGCUGGACAACAGCACCAACAUCGUCAGCGAGAAAGGGUCCAACCCCAACAGAAACUCCAUCAGGGGGUUCGAGGUCGUCGACCAGAUCAAGGUGGCCCUCGAGACCGCCUGCCCCGGCACCGUCUCCUGCGCUGACAUCCUCGCCCUCGCAGCCCGCGAUUCCACCAUCCUCGUAUGUUCGCCACCUUUCCUCUCCUCGCACAAGUCGACCAACCCAGCCAGCAUGUGUGACUCUUUGACCCUGAUCAAACUGCAGGUCGGUGGCCCGUACUGGGAGGUGCCGCUCGGGCGGAGGGACUCCCUGGGCGCGAGCAUCCAGGGCUCCAACAACGACAUCCCGGCACCCAACAACACCCUCCCUACCAUCAUCACCAAGUUCAAGCGCCUGGGCCUCAACGUCGUGGACGUCGUCGCGCUCUCGGGCGGCCACACCAUCGGCCUGUGCCGCUGCACCAGCUUCCGGCAGAGGCUGUACAACCAGUCGGGCAACGGCCUCGCCGACAGCACGCUGGACGUGUCCUUCGCAGCGCACCUGAGGCAGGGCUGCCCCCGCUCCGGCGGCGACAACAACCUCUUCCCGCUCGACGCCGUCAGCUCCACCAAGUUCGACAACUUCUACUUCAAGAACAUCCUCGCCGGCAGGGGCCUCCUGAGCUCCGACGAGGUGCUGCUGACCAAGAGCGCCGAGACGGCGGCGCUGGUGAAGGCGUACGCCGACGACGUGCACCUCUUCUUCCAGCACUUUGCCCAGUCAAUGGUGAACAUGGGCAACAUCUCGCCGCUCACCGGGUCCAAGGGGGAGAUCAGGAAGAACUGCAGGAGGCUCAACAACUACCACUGA
rnacentral:rRNA from 1 species